UACGUAGGGGGCGAGCGUUGUCCGGAUUUAUUGGGCGUAAAGAGCUCGUAGGUGGUUUGGUAAGUCGGAUGUGAAAUCUCCAGGCUCAACCUGGAGGGGUCAUUCGAUACUGCCAUGACUAGAGUUCGGUAGGGGAGUGUGGAAUUCCUGGUGGAGCGGUGAAAUGCGCAGAUAUCAGGAGGAACACCCGUGGCGAAGGCGGCUCUCUGGGACGGUACUGACGCUGAGGCGCGAAAGCGUGGGGAGCAAACAGG
rnacentral:rRNA from 1 species